GACGAACGCUGGCGGCGCGCCUAACACAUGCAAGUCGAACGGAGCUGAGAGAAGCUUGCUUUUCUUAGCUUAGUGGCGAACGGGUGAGUAACGCGUGAGUAACCUGCCCUGGAGUGGGGGACAACAGUUGGAAACGACUGCUAAUACCGCAUAAGCCCACGAUCCGGCAUCGGAUUGAGGGAAAAGGAUUUAUUCGCUUCAGGAUGGACUCGCGUCCAAUUAGCUAGUUGGUGAGGUAACGGCCCACCAAGGCGACGAUUGGUAGCCGGACUGAGAGGUUGAACGGCCACAUUGGGACUGAGACACGGCCCAGACUCCUACGGGAGGCAGCAGUGGGGGAUAUUGCAAAAUGGGGGAAACCCUGAUGCAGCGACGCCGCGUGGAUGAAGAAGGUUUUCGGAUUGUAAACUCCUGUCGUUAGGGACGAUAAUGACGGUACCUAACAAGAAAGCACCGGCUAACUACGUG
rnacentral:rRNA from 1 species